UGGGCAAGGAGAAUCCGACUUGUCAUCGUUUCCCCGACUAAACGCGUCGAACGCCAUUCGACUAAGCACCUCGAGCGACAUUUGACUAUCAAACCAUAUGAAAGGAUCCGGCCAUCGAGUCAUACCCGAAGGUCGGAUGAAUUUUGACUCGACGGACAUGCCCGACUCACGAUCGGGUGACAGAUGUUCGACUUAAGCCCUCGAUCGUUGGAUUAUACGACAAUUGGGAGGCUGAUCCG
rnacentral:lncRNA from 1 species